rnacentral:rRNA from 1 species
UACGGAGGAGGCAAGCGUUAUCCGGAAUUAUUGGGCGUAAAGCGUCCGUAGGUGGUUCACCCAGUCUGCUGUCAAAGGGUGGGGCUUAACCUCAUAAAGGCAGUGGAAACUGGUGAGCUAGAGUGCGGUAGGGGUAAGGGGAAUUCCCAGUGUAGCGGUGAAAUGCGUAGAGAUUGGGAAGAACAUCGGCGGCGAAAGCGCCUUACUGGGCCUGCACUGACACUGAGGGACGAAAGCUAGGGGAGCGAAAGGG